AAAAAGAAGGUGCCUGCUGCAUCCCUGCCCCACCCCCCAGAGUUUGUCUGUGAGAACAACAGAAGCCUUUGUUUUCUUCCUUGGUCAUUUGCAGGCUGAGCUGCUGUACAAGAAGAACCCAAAGUUACUGAACCAGUUGCAGUACUGUGAGGAAGCAGGCAUCCCACUGGUGGCCAUCAUUGGUGAGCAGGAGCUUAAGGAUGGUGUCAUCAAGCUCCGUUCAGUGACGAGCAGAGAAGAGGUGGAUGUCCGAAGAGAAGACCUUGUGGAGGAGAUCAGAAGAAGAACAAGUCAGCCCCUCUCCAUGUGAUGAACUGAGCAAACUAGUGGAAGAAACAGGAUUGGCCUUAACUGAGCUAAAACAAAACUGCAUAUGUACUUAAACAGUUUGGACGUUUCUGAUCCAGCAGAAGACUGAAGGGUGGUCAGAACAGAGGCUUUGUGGGGGGUUGGGGUUUUUUGUUUUUGUUUUUUAUCAUUAUUAUUAUUAUUACGUUAUUAUCCGUAAUCACUGGCAAGAAAUGGCUAGGCACUACACUUUCCUUGUGUGGGGGAUGGGGUCAAGCAGUAUAGUGGAUUAAUCAAGUCUCUGCCUCCUAAACUCCUGUUUGGACUUGA
rnacentral:lncRNA from 1 species